rnacentral:rRNA from 1 species
CGCCUUGCCAGCCCGACUCAGAAACUUAAAGGAAUUGACGGGGCCCGGCACAAGCGGUGGAGCGUGUGGUUAAUUCGAUGAUACGCGAGGAACCUUACCUGGGCUCAAAUGUAUGUUGACGUAUUCUGAAAGGGAUACUUCUUCGGACAAUAUACAAGGUGCUGCAUGGUUGUCGUCAGCUCGUGCCGUGAGGUGUCGGGUUAAGUCCCAUAACGAGCGCAACCCUAUCAUUAGUUGCCAUCAGGUCAAGCUGGGGACUCUAAUGAAACUGCCUACGCAAGUAGUGAGGAAGGUGGGGAUGACGUCAAAUCAGCACGGCCCUUACGUCCAGGGCUACACACGUGCUACAAUGGCCGGUACAAAGGGCAGCUACCUGGUGACAGGAUGCUAAUCUCAAAAGCCGGUCUCAGUUCGGAUCGGAGUCUGCAACCCGACUCCGUGAAGCUGGAAUCGCUAGUAAUCGCGCAUCAGCCAUGGCGCGGUGAAUACGUUCCCGGGCCUU